GACGAACGCUGGCGGGGGGAGGAAAAAAGGAAAGUCGAAAGAUGAAGCUUGGUGCUUGCAGGGGGUGGAUGAGUGGCGAACGGGUGAGUAAUACGUGAGUAACCUGCCCUUGACUCUGGGAUAAGCCUGGGAAACUGGGUCUAAUACUGGAUAUGACAUGCCACUGCAUGGUGGUGUGUGGCAAGGGUUUUACUGGUUUUGGCUGGGCUCACGGCCUAUCAGCUUGUUGGUGGGGUAAUGGCCUACCAAGGCGACGACGGUUAGCCGGCCUGAGAGGGUGACCGGCCACACUGGGACUGAGACACGGCCCAGACUCCUACGGGAGGCAGCAGUGGGGAAUAUUGCACAAUGGGCGGAAGCCUGAUGCAGCGACGCCGCGUGAGGGAUCCCGCCCUUCGGGUUGUAAACCUCUUUCAGCACGGAAGAAGCGAGAGUGACGGUACGUGCAGAAGAAGCGCCGGCUCCCUACGUU
rnacentral:rRNA from 1 species